GAUGAAGAACGUAGCGAAAUGCGAUAAGUAAUGCGAAUUGCAGAAUUCAGUGAGUCAUCGAAUCUUUGAACGCACAUUGCGCCCUGUGGUAUUCCGCAGGGCAUGCCUGUUCGAGCGUCAUUUCAACCCUCAAGCUCUGCUUGGUGUUGGGACCUGCCCGCUGCGGCCGGCCCUAAAGACAGUGGCGGUGCCGCCUGGCCCUGAGCGUAGUACAUCUCUCGCUCCAGUGCCCGGUGGUAGCCUGCCAGAACCCCAACUCUCGUGGUUGACCUCGGAUCAGGUAGGGAUACCCGCUGAACUUAAGCAUAUCAAUAAGCGGAGGA
rnacentral:misc_RNA from 1 species